rnacentral:rRNA from 1 species
UUAAGUUAUUAAGGGCGCACGGUGGAUGCCUUGGCACUAGAAGCCGAUGAAGGACGUUACUAACGACGAUAUGCUUUGGGGAGCUGUAAGUAAGCUUUGAUCCAGAGAUUUCCGAAUGGGGAAACCCAGCAUGAGUUAUGUCAUGUUAUCGAUAUGUGAAUACAUAGCAUAUCAGAAGGCACACCCGGAGAACUGAAACAUCUUAGUACCCGGAGGAAGAGAAAGAAAAUUCGAUUCCCUUAGUAGCGGCGAGCGAAACGGGAAGAGCCCAAACCAACAAGCUUGCUUGUUGGGGUUGUAGGACACUCUAUACGGAGUUACAAAGGACGACAUUAGACGAAUCAUCUGGAAAGAUGAAUCAAAGAAGGUAAUAAUCCUGUAGUCGAAAAUGUUGUCUCUCUUGAGUGGAUCCUGAGUACGACGGAGCACGUGAAAUUCCGUCGGAAUCUGGGAGGACCAUCUCCUAAGGCUAAAUACUCUCUAGUGACCGAUAGUGAACCAGUACCGUGAGGGAAAGGUGAAAAGCACCCCGGAAGGGGAGUGAAAUAGAACCUGAAACCGUGUGCUUACAAGUAGUCAGAGCCCGUUAAUGGGUGAUGGCGUGCCUUUUGUAGAAUGAACCGGCGAGUUACGAUUUGAUGCAAGGUUAAGCAGUAAAUGUGGAGCCGUAGCGAAAGCGAGUCUGAAUAGGGCGUUUAGUAUUUGGUCGUAGACCCGAAACCAGGUGAUCUACCCUUGGUCAGGUUGAAGUUCAGGUAACACUGAAUGGAGGACCGAACCGACUUACGUUGAAAAGUGAGCGGAUGAACUGAGGGUAGCGGAGAAAUUCCAAUCGAACCUGGAGAUAGCUGGUUCUCUCCGAAAUAGCUUUAGGGCUAGCCUCAAGUGAUGAUUAUUGGAGGUAGAGCACUGUUUGGACGAGGGGCCCCUCUCGGGUUACCGAAUUCAGACAAACUCCGAAUGCCAAUUAAUUUAACUUGGGAGUCAGAACAUGGGUGAUAAGGUCCGUGUUCGAAAGGGAAACAGCCCAGACCACCAGCUAAGGUCCCAAAAUAUAUGUUAAGUGGAAAAGGAUGUGGCGUUGCCCAGACAACUAGGAUGUUGGCUUAGAAGCAGCCAUCAUUUAAAGAGUGCGUAAUAGCUCACUAGUCGAGUGACACUGCGCCGAAAAUGUACCGGGGCUAAACAUAUUACCGAAGCUGUGGAUUGUCCUUUGGACAAUGGUAGGAGAGCGUUCUAAGGGCGUUGAAGCAUGAUCGUAAGGACAUGUGGAGCGCUUAGAAGUGAGAAUGCCGGUGUGAGUAGCGAAAGACGGGUGAGAAUCCCGUCCACCGAUUGACUAAGGUUUCCAGAGGAAGGCUCGUCCGCUCUGGGUUAGUCGGGUCCUAAGCUGAGGCCGACAGGCGUAGGCGAUGGAUAACAGGUUGAUAUUCCUGUACCACCUAUAAUCGUUUUAAUCGAUGGGGGGACGCAGUAGGAUAGGCGAAGCGUGCGAUUGGAUUGCACGUCUAAGCAGUAAGGCUGAGUAUUAGGCAAAUCCGGUACUCGUUAAGGCUGAGCUGUGAUGGGGAGAAGACAUUGUGUCUUCGAGUCGUUGAUUUCACACUGCCGAGAAAAGCCUCUAGAUAGAAAAUAGGUGCCCGUACCGCAAACCGACACAGGUAGUCAAGAUGAGAAUUCUAAGGUGAGCGAGCGAACUCUCGUUAAGGAACUCGGCAAAAUGACCCCGUAACUUCGGGAGAAGGGGUGCUCUUUAGGGUUAACGCCCAGAAGAGCCGCAGUGAAUAGGCCCAAGCGACUGUUUAUCAAAAACACAGGUCUCUGCUAAACCGUAAGGUGAUGUAUAGGGGCUGACGCCUGCCCGGUGCUGGAAGGUUAAGAGGAGUGGUUAGCUUCUGCGAAGCUACGAAUCGAAGCCCCAGUAAACGGCGGCCGUAACUAUAACGGUCCUAAGGUAGCGAAAUUCCUUGUCGGGUAAGUUCCGACCCGCACGAAAGGCGUAACGAUUUGGGCACUGUCUCAACGAGAGACUCGGUGAAAUCAUAGUACCUGUGAAGAUGCAGGUUACCCGCGACAGGACGGAAAGACCCCGUGGAGCUUUACUGUAGCCUGAUAUUGAAAUUCGGCACAGCUUGUACAGGAUAGGUAGGAGCCUUUGAAACGUGAGCGCUAGCUUACGUGGAGGCGCUGGUGGGAUACUACCCUAGCUGUGUUGGCUUUCUAACCCGCACCACUUAUCGUGGUGGGAGACAGUGUCAGGCGGGCAGUUUGACUGGGGCGGUCGCCUCCUAAAAGGUAACGGAGGCGCUCAAAGGUUCCCUCAGAAUGGUUGGAAAUCAUUCAUAGAGUGUAAAGGCAUAAGGGAGCUUGACUGCGAGACCUACAAGUCGAGCAGGGUCGAAAGACGGACUUAGUGAUCCGGUGGUUCCGCAUGGAAGGGCCAUCGCUCAACGGAUAAAAGCUACCCCGGGGAUAACAGGCUUAUCUCCCCCAAGAGUUCACAUCGACGGGGAGGUUUGGCACCUCGAUGUCGGCUCAUCGCAUCCUGGGGCUGUAGUCGGUCCCAAGGGUUGGGCUGUUCGCCCAUUAAAGCGGUACGCGAGCUGGGUUCAGAACGUCGUGAGACAGUUCGGUCCCUAUCCGUCGUGGGCGUAGGAAAUUUGAGAGGUGCUGUCCUUAGUACGAGAGGACCGGGAUGGACAUACCUCUGGUGUACCAGUUGUCGUGCCAACGGCAUAGCUGGGUAGCUAUGUGUGGACGGGAUAAGUGCUGAAAGCAUCUAAGCAUGAAGCCCCCCUCAAGAUGAGAUUUCCCAACUUCGGUUAUAAGAUCCCUCAAAGAUGAUGAGGUUAAUAGGUUCGAGGUGGAAGCAUGGUGACAUGUGGAGCUGACGAAUACUAAUCGAUCGAAGACUUAAUCAA